rnacentral:rRNA from 1 species
UACGUAGGGUGCAAGCGUUGUCCGGAAUUAUUGGGCGUAAAGAGCUCGUAGGCGGUUUGUCGCGUCUGCUGUGAAAACUCGGGGCUUAACCCCGGGCCUGCAGUGGGUACGGGCAGACUAGAGUGCGGUAGGGGAGACUGGAAUUCCUGGUGUAGCGGUGAAAUGCGCAGAUAUCAGGAGGAACACCGGUGGCGAAGGCGGGUCGCUGGGCCGUAACUGACGCUGAGGAGCGAAAGCAUGGGGAGCGAACAGG